rnacentral:rRNA from 1 species
CCUACGGGAGGCAGCAGUAGGGAAUAUUGCUCAAUGGGGGAAAGCCUGAAGCAGCAAAGCCGCGUGGAGGAUGAAGGUUUUAGGAGUGUAAACUCCUUUUGGUAGAGAAGAUUAUGACGGUAUCUAACGAAUAAGCACCGGCUAACUCCGUGCCAGCAGCCGCGGUAAUACGGAGGGUGCAAGCGUUACUCGGAAUCACUGGGGGAAAAGGGUGCGUAGGCGGGGUAAUAAGUCAGAGGUGAAAUCUGGUAGCUUAACUACAGAACGGCAUUGAAAAUGGUGCUUCUGAGGGGGGGAGGGGUAUGUGGAAUUCGUGGUGUAGGGGUAAAAUGCGUAGAGAUCAAGAGGAAUACUCAUUGCGAAGGC